GUGUCAGCAGCCGCGGUAAUACGAAGGGGGCUAGCGUUGUUCGGAAUUACUGGGCGUAAAGCGCGCGCAGGCGGCUGAUCAAGUCAGGGGUGAAAGCCCGGAGCUCAACUCCGGAAAUGCCUUUGAAACUGAUCGGCUUGAGUACGGGAGAGGUGAGUGGAAUUCCCAGUGUAGAGGUGAAAUUCGUAGAUAUUGGGAAGAACACCGGUGGCGAAGGCGGCUCACUGGCCCGUUUCUGACGCUCAGGCGCGACAGCGUGGGGAUCAAACAGGAUUAGAUACCCUUGUAGUCC
rnacentral:rRNA from 1 species